rnacentral:rRNA from 1 species
GAUGAACGCUGGCGGCGUGCUUAACACAUGCAAGUCGAACGAUGAUCCGGUGCUUGCACCGGGGAUUAGUGGCGAACGGGUGAGUAACACGUGAGUAACCUGCCCUUAACUCUGGGAUAAGCCUGGGAAACUGGGUCUAAUACCGGAUAUGACUCCUCAUCGCAUGGUGGGGGGUGGAAAGCUUUAUUGUGGUUUUGGAUGGACUCGCGGCCUAUCAGCUUGUUGGUGAGGUAAUGGCUCACCAAGGCGACGACGGGUAGCCGGCCUGAGAGGGUGACCGGCCACACUGGGACUGAGACACGGCCCAGACUCCUACGGGAGGCUG